rnacentral:rRNA from 1 species
AAGUCGUAACAAGGUUUCCGUAGGUGAACCUGCGGAAGGAUCAUUAGAGAAGGGGACCCCUUAAGUGCGGGCGCCGCGAGUUUUGGCGCGACGGGCGUAAAAACCCCCCCGUCGGGUGCACUCUCACCCUGUGUUAACGUACCUUUGUUGCUUUGGCAGGCCGCGGCCUCCGCUGUGNGCGUAUGCUCACACGUGCCUGCCAGAGAACCCAACUCCUGAGUUUAGUGAUGUCUGAGUACUAUUAAAUAGUUUUGACUUUCAACAACGGAUCUCUUGGAUCUGGCAUCGAUGACGAACGCAGCGUAAUGCGAUAAGUAAUGUGAAUUGUCGAAGUCAGUGCAUCAUCNAAUCUUUGAACGCACAUUGCGUCCGCUGNCAAUCCGGCGUGCAUGCCUGUUCGAGCGUCAGUAUGAGCAACUCACGCUCCUCGGNGGUCUUGUAGUCCGCUAACUAGCGGCNCUUGAACGCAGAGCCGGGUGCCGUGCGAUCUCUCAGCGUAGNAAUUUAUCUCGGUGCACUGUCCGGACGGUGCUGAUCAGCAGCCUCAACUAUACUAGGUUGACCUNGSAUCAGGUAAGGGAUACCCGCUGAUCUUAAGGCGUAUCAAUAAGCGGAGGAAAUGAAUCAACAGGGAUUACUCUCAGUAACGGCGAGUGAAGCGGUACCAGUCUCAAAUUUGAAUUCGGGCUCUUUCAGGGUCCGAGUNGUANUUUGUAGAAGAUGCUUCGGAGUGGGGUCCCGGUCUAAGUUCCUUGGACCAGGUCGUCAUAGAGGGUGAGAUUCCCGUAUGUGACUGCGUGCCUUCGCUCAUGUGAAGCUCUUUCGGCGAGUCGAGUUGUUUGGGAAUGCAGCUCAAAAUGGGUGGUAAAUUUCAUCUAAAGCUAAAUAUUGNCCAGAGACCGAUAGCGCGCAAGUAGAGUGAUCGAAAGAUGAAAAGCNCUUUGGAAAGAGAGUUAACACAGUACGUGAAAUUGUUGAAAGGGAAGCGCUUGCAAUCAGACUUGCCCGCCGUCGAUCAUCCGGGUUUCUCCCCGGGCCACUCGGCGGCGUUCAGCCCAGCACCGGUUUCGAGGGUGGGAUAAAGGCCUUGGGAAUGUAGCUUCUUUCGGGGAGUGUUAUAGCCCCCGGUGCAAUGCCGCCUCUCGGGACCGAGGACCGCGCUUCGGCUAGGAUGCUGGCGUAAUGGUUGUAAGCGACC